rfam:Ovis aries breed Texel chromosome 5, whole genome shotgun sequence.
UCCUCACAGCUCAGUCGGUAAAGAAUCUGCCUGCAAAGCAGGAGACCCAGGUUCAAUCCCUGGGUCAGGAA